UAGCAAUGGGCUUGUGAUGGGAUGGAUUGCCCACAUUAGCCCUACAAGAGCUGAAUUAGGCCAGGUGGGCCUAAUCAGCUCAUUAGGCUGCAAGCAGGGGGCUCCUUGGGCUAGGUGGAGGCAACUGAUUGGGAACAGGCUCACCUGUGCAGGAAAAAGCAGGGCCAGGCUAUAAAAAGGAGGCUACUACUAUGAAAGGCUGUGGGGACUUCCUGCAUGGAGGAAGUUAGCUACUGAUAAACCCAGUAGGAGUGCGAACUAGGUAUGCAGGAAGAAGCCCAGUAGCAAGCAGUAGGAGGGUAGAGGGACUGUGGCUCCUUAUUAUAGAGUUCCUAGGCUGGAACAAAGUGUAGAGGAUAGACCUGGGUUCCCCUAGUGGUCACUGGGGAAGGGAAAGGACAAUAGAGGUGCCAGCCAGAUAACAUUUCUGGAAAGACUGUGAAUUCCCUGGAAGGAGAGGACUUUGGUAACCUAGCCAGAGGGCCAACCUAAAAAGAAGAAGUUGCAGAUCUAGAAGUGAGUGGGGCAGCAGAGUGAGACAAGAUAGGAGAAGAAAAAUACCACAGAGAGAGUGCAAGCUGGCAGGACUAAUCCCCAGAGUGGCGAGAAGGAGGUGCUGCUUGUGGGGAGUAGACCAUGUGAUAUGUGGUAGAGAAUGGGCAAAUGAUCAUCCCUGACAUGAGGGGAGGUCAAGAGACACUAGAAACACUUUAUAAGGCAGUGACCCUGAUACAAGGGGAAUAGGAAAGACUAGGAGUGUUACAGCUGUGGGGGAUGAAGACACCUGAAAAGGGAGUGCCCCUACUGGGAUGGGGGAGAGAUGCUUUACUUGGAUAGCUGAAAGUAAAGAGAGCCUCAAAGAAUCUGUCCUGUGGGGAGAACAGGAAAAGGAGGUGUUUUGCUUGUGGUCAGCAGGGGCACCUAUGGAGGGGAUGCCUGUAUAUGAGCUGUGAGGGGAAGAUUAGCCCAGGGAAAGAGUUUGCUUUAGGUGCUUGGAGGCUGGCUAUAUAAAAAGGUAUUACCCUCUUAAGAGAGGGUCUAGUAGCAAAGGGGAAGGCAAGGAUCCCAAUGACACAGUAAAAAGGGGCUCAAAGAUAAAUGGAUUAGGACAGAGAGGGCCCAGCUGGAAAUAGGCAUGACUCCAGAGCUGAAGCAGGCUACUGUAGGACCCAAACACUGGCAUAAAAGUGUAAAGAUGCGAUGGAGGAACAGGACGGGCUGUGGCUCAUGGUCAGGGACCUAAAACAAGAAAGGGAUGACCUGAGCGUCCAGGUGUGGCAGGUGCAGGGUAGGUAAUUUAGAGAAUACCUGCUCACCCCAGGUUGUGGUCUUGAAGGUGUGUGAUGGGGUGCACUCCCUAUACUAGCCCUGCAAGAGCUUAAUUGGGCCAGGUGGGCCCAAUCAUCUAAAUUGACUGCAAGCAGGGGAAACUUAGGCUAUGAGAAGGCCACUGAUUGGGAACAGGGUCACCUGUGCAGGAACAAGCAGAGCCUGUAUAAAGCUAAGCAGCUAGCUACAGAAAGGGGGAUUUUGUUGCUGGGAAAGGCUGCAGGGAAGGAAGCUGAAGUCACCCCUUAAGUGGGGGGGAGUUGGAGGCUAGCAAACCUGAGGGAAGCUAGAUGUGUAGGAAGAAGACCUGGGAAACAGCAGCAAGAGGUGGGACUGUGGCUGCUUGUUAUAGGGUCCCUGGGCUGGAACCAGUGUAGAGGGCAGGCCUGGGUUACCCUACCAGCCACUGGGAAGUGACGUGGAUAUUGGAGGUGCUAGCCAGCAGGUCUGGAAAGACUGAAUUCCCUGCAAGGAGAGGACUUUGGUCCAGAGGACCAAGCCACAGAGAGGAAGCUGCAAACCUGGAAGUGAGCGUGGCAGCAGAGCAAGACAACGCUGGAGGGAGAGCGGCUGUGUGGUGGUGCCAGCUGCUCCUGACGAACUCGCCACUCUGGAGGGUGAUGAACAUUAUGGAAGGCAUACAGUUGAUGGACAACAUUUUUAGACCAACCAGAGACUGAAGGAGAGGCAGCUAGUGGAGUUUGACUUUUGUGUCUCUGACUUGUCUGAAAAUAUCCGUAGCCGUACAGCAUACAGAUUUUGGCUGACCCAUUCAGAAGAGAGAUUAAUCAGCCAAAAGCAAACACACACUGGAAUCUGCUGUUGUGUACAAGGCACAGUUUGGGAAAGGGGAAGGAGGAAAGCUUAUAUAUAGGAAAGCAACUUCCGGACUCCUACGCACCACAGCUCUCAAUGUCAUAUCUAUUGGAACCAUAGAAGUUGUUGUUGCCCUCGGGUUGGAUUUAAAUCUAAGUCUUGGGAGAAUUAACCAGCUACAAAAGCUGUUUUGGUUUAACAGAGUCUUAUAAUAAUGAAGUGAACAUCGAAAUAAGACUGGGAACCUGGACUGAUCCUUUUACAAUAAAAUUCAAAGGGACUCUUGACAAGUGGAGAUGAGGAAGCAGGACAGAUGUUCAAAAAUCAGAAUUGCCCUGAACUUUUUAGACGAGGAGACAAACCUGCAUCAGCACUACAGAGCAACUGUAAGCCAAGCCAGCAUGCGUGGGACAGAGGAAAAAAUGGUGUUCGUAAGAAAAACGAUGGUUUCUCUGAUUGCCAGCCCCACAAACCAAUUGAAGGCUAAUGGGGUAACUGAAGGUAAAAUCUGACCUGCAUAUUUUUCAGAACUGGUGUAAAUGCAUGAGAAGGACUGAGCUCCUAUUGAUUUUUGAAGCAGAGUGUGAAAAUUGCAGAGCUAACAGUUUGGGGAAAAAUCCUUCUUGAAAAUUUGACAUUAGAUGUUACUGAGAAAUGAUAAACAUGGGAUACGCUCAUCCCAUGCUAUUUGUAUGCAGUCACUUCUCCGAGUAAAAUUCAAGUUCAGAGACGUGAAGGCUUUUAUAAACUAUUUCUGUUAUCUCUCCUACCAGUUCCACAUCUUUCUGGUUUGUACCACACUUGCUCUGAGUACACAGAUUUGUUUAUACAACUUACAAACCGUUAAGCAUGUGUAGAGUACAAGUCAUGCAUGAAAGGACUCUAAAUGUCUCCUGAUGCUUACUACUAAUUUUAGAGACUGUCGUCUGCAUGUUUUCAAGUUGCCUUUUAGAUAAUUGUAUUUAUAAUCUGAAACAAGCGACCUGUUCCUCAUAAUAAUAAGCAAGUUAACCAUGUUGUAGAGAAGUAUAAUUGCAGCGCGUUUUGAAACCUUUGCAGAAUAUGUUCAUAAGGGCAUGGCAAAUGAUAUGUAAAAUAUAAUUAUCUGGUUAUGUAAGGAUAGUCUUUCGACAUGGUCCUCUUAACACAAACAUAUUAAAUAAAGAGAACACUUCCGGUUUGAUA